GAAAUGCGAUACGUAAUGUGAAUUGCAGAAUCUCGUGAAUCAUCAAAUUUUCGAACGCAUAUUGCGCUCUUGGGUAUUCCUGAGAGCAUGCCUGUUUGAGUGUCAGUAUCAAAUCUCAAACCUUUGGGUUUGGAUGUGGACCUUUCUCAGACCUUGAGCCUGAGUGGUCUUAAAUGCAUAGGAGAAUUAGCAGUAUUCCCGCUUGAAGGCGUGAUAAUGAUGAGAUAUUCAUCUUUUUAUUCGUCGACUUUGGUGAAUCGCUAAGGUUUUCUCCGUAAUGGCCCCUUUGGGCAAACCAAGGUUUUAAUCCUUGAAACUUGACCUCAAAUCAAGCAAGACUACCCGCUGAACUUAA
rnacentral:misc_RNA from 1 species